GCCCCGCUCGCCCCUUUGUGCCGCGGGGGCGGAGGCGGGCUCCCCCCGCUCGCGGGCCAGGACCCCGGCGGAGGGCGGGAGGAGCGUGAGAGGGGAGGCCGCGGGGUUGCAGGGGCUGGGGGCGGCGCGAGAGGGGCCGAGGCUCGGGCCGGGGGUGGGGCUCCUCCGCCCGCCAGCCGCUCCCGCAUUAAAAUUUCAUGGGCGCUGCAGCAGCUUACAAAGACGACGCCGGCUGCGCUCGGGGGACCGGAGGGAGGGAGGCUGCGGACGAGUGCGGGGAGGAGUUUGCGAUGGGAGGCGCUUGCAGGGGCUCCCCCAGUUCUGAGCCGUGAGCCCGGGCACAAAGAGCCCUCUGCACUCGCGCUGCAGGACCGCGGACCCGAGUGACUGCUGGACCCAUCACCCUGCCCACCCAUGGGGUUGCAGACACGUCGACGUGACCACUACGACCAUAACAGCAUCGAAGGACAGCCAGGAUGACCCUUCUGUGCACCCCUGGGGUAACAGACUCCAGCUUCAUGCUAUGAAAUCCAUUUGGGUAGAAACCCUCUGAAUCUUAGAGGUUUGCCUUUUCUGGACAUGUCAUAUACGUACAUGGAGUCAAACAGCACGCGGCCUCUUGUGCCUGGCUUCUUUUCUCUCCGUAUUCUCUCUUCGAGGUUCGUCCAAGUCGUAGCAUUUAACAAUCAUUUAUUCCUCUUUACUGAGGCGUAGCUUUCGUUAUACAAACAUACGAAUGUUCUUCCAUCUACGAGGACAGGAUUUUGACUUGAUCUAUCUUACUGAGGUAAAGGCACCUGCAUUCCAGGAGGCAUAUCCUGUUUCUGGGACAUCGGCGUUACACGGAGAUUUCCUCGACAGGUGAAAACAAUUUUGGGAGCUCUUACCGUGUGCCAAGUCAGUGGCUACACCUUGGAGCAUAAUGAACAUUGAGUCGCACAUCAGACAGCUACCUGCUUGACUCAGGGGUUGAUGUUUCCCUUGAAACCUUCAUUGCCUUAUGGAUAUCGGGGUCUGCGGAACCAGGGGAAGGGCCAUUGUGAACAGCCUAGGGUCUGUUAACGGAGUGCAGCGAGGUCCUGGGACAGAGGAGAGAGAAGGGAUUUCUGAAUUCUUCCCGAACAUUCCUGGCCACACCCGGGAAGCAGCCUUGCAGAUAAGUAUUCCAGUUUACCCACCCACAGCCUACCCGCCUGCCCUCUCUCAGUCUGUGCAGGAAAGUACAGAACCUCAGAAUCCCCGUGUAGGAGGGGAAAUGGGUGAUCAGGUUUUCUAGCCCUCUAGGUCACAAACAGAGACCUUGUCCCCAUUUUAUGGGGCCCCAGAGAGGGUGACCGCCACACCCCUCUUUUGGCACAGAGCCUAGAAUUUUGUCAACUCCACCAUCAGGAACUUCUGUAGACUGGAGUUUAAUGACCUCAUAUUGAGAUCUCGUAGAUCUGGGAUCAGAAGAAGUGAGUCAGAUGGGGGUUGGGGACUCCUGGUGGCUCUUCUCAGUGCUGGCCCUUUGUCAUCAUCAUAUUUGUAAAACUUGGCCCAGGGCUCCUUUACCCAGCAGUGGAGUGGGGACAUGGGCAUGGUGACUCUAGGGCCACAUUCUUUCCUCCAGAUCUGGACCCUUGCCCUGAGUCCCAGGUGCCUGAAGCAAGCUCCGGCCACACGUUAAGAGGCGCCCCCGACUCUCCUGGCCCAGCUCUGCCAGCCGCUGAAGAGAGCUUAGAUGUCACCAGAAGCAAAACUGAGAUAUGAUUCUGGGUCAGGACUAGGAGGCAUUUGAUGGGGGCAAAAACGUAUCUGAGGCUGAUCUGUAGGGCCCCCCUCUUUCCUCUCCACUGCUUCACACUGUGGGUUAGUACUGUGUACUCUGGAUGAAUGUAGGGCUGGAAGAAUCCCAGGGCGCAAAGAGAGAGAGAGAGAAAGAGAAAGAGGGACGGACUUCCCGGGGCUACACAGAAUGGCAAAGCCGGAUCAGGAGUCUGGAUUCCUGACUCCAUUCACUGCUUCUGCUCAGCUGAAUUUGUCUUACUUUGUCCUGAGGCCCCUUCUGCAGUUUUUGGGGAACAGGGAGGUGGGUGAGGGAGCCCCUCCUUAUCCCGAGGACAUUCUGGGGUGGGAGGAAGGGAGGUAAAGGGGAGUGUGUCUGGGCCCAGCCUCUCUGACCCAGGGUGCUCUUCUUGCUGGCAGAGACUUCUGGCCAGGCCCGGGUCGGGGGACGGGGCCUGGGUGCAGUUUUCUCCUGCGGUGUGGUUGGCUCUUUUGUCUUCCAGGAAGGGAUCUACACAGGAAAGGAGCUGGGAGCUGGGCCUGGGCUGCCCACGUGCUGGCUGGGUGCUUCCAGGUAAACCUGGCACAAACACGGACCAAGCACCUUCUCCCAGCGAGAUUCCGGGGAUCCAGAGGUUCACUCCAGAGACACGGUUCCACCCUCUCAGAUCUUCACACCAGAAUGUGCUUUAUCACGGUCUCAGCGAAGGAGUGAGCUCCCCAUCCUGGGAAGAGUGUGUGUGUGGCUCUUCCUGGCUGCAUCUCCAGGACUCCUGGUGUGGUCUCUCUGGAGCCCGCGUGACUCUGGACUCCGGCCACAGUGAUACAGGGAGCAGCCUUUGGUGGUUUUCUGGAACUCUGGACAAUUCUCGAGAGACCUCAUCUUUUCCAGCUGCUCAGACGGCGCCUCAGACAAAAGGAUCAAGGGCCCUUCUGGUUGGCGCUUGACUGAGGACAGGCCCUGGCUCUGGAGGGAGGGCUAUGAGGGAGGCUGGCCACCCCCUGCCCCUCCGUGUCCACCUGGACCCUGCCUAUCAGACCUUACCGUGUGUGCCUGGACACCACUUUUUGGCCCUGUGCUGACCUGAUGGCUCUCUGCAGCCCUGCUCCUGGGCCAAGGCCCCGUGGACCCUUACCAAGGCUGGGUCUGGAAGGACCCUCCAGGCUGGGGCAGGACCACAGGGAUGGGAGUCAGGGUGGAGCUGCCUAGUGGAAAGGAGGCCAGGCACAGCUUCAUGGGCUCCAUCGCCUGGAGUCUGUCUUGCGCCGUUUGCCUUGAGCGAUUCUCAUUUUUGUGGGUGCUUUUUGGAUGAGGUUUUUCUCUGUUGCUCUCUGCCUGAUGGUCACAGGAAGAGGGCAGUCAGGGUCUGGGCGGAGUCUGGGUCUUCCCCCAGUGUGGUUGAGUUUUGGGGGACAGAUGGAGGGGCAGAAGCUGUGCUAUCCUGAAAGGGGAGGGUUUGUAAGAGAUGAGGAGGCCCGGGUAGGGGGAGCUUGCCAGAGGGAGACAGAAACUGGGCCCUUUUCGCACCAUCCAAAGGGAACAGGCUGGAUCCAGCCUUGUCCCCAGGCUCGAGGGGUCAGGUGACCCCAGCCAGAUCUCUGAUCUCUGUUCCUUAUUGCACAGAUCCUUGAUUCUGUCCUUGGGGGACCAGGCAGGGCAGGCCCCAGGCACAUGAAGCCCUCCCUGUCACACGGCUGCACGUUCACCUUCCUGCGUACGUCUCCAUUCUCCGCUCUCCGCUCUGCAGCCUGUCUGGGGGGCGGGAGCAGGGGUCUAGUGCUAGCCCAGAAGCAGUCUGUGGGUCUCCAUAGGCAGGUUGAAAAGCCGGGUGUUCUCUUCCUAAGUGGAGAGGGAGCCUGAAUUAGCUCGAGCUACACUAAAAACAGACCACACCCUGGGAGGGAGGCUUAAACAGUGGAAAUGUGUUUUCUCAUAGUUCUGGUAGCUGGAAGCCCAAGAUCCAGGUGGGAGUGAUGGUUUCUCCCAAGGCCUUUUCCGUCAGCCUGUAGAGAGCCAUCUUCUCGAUGUGUCCUCACUGGGCCUUUUCUCUGUGUGCACUUAGUGGGGGAGGGAGGAAGAGGAACCGAUCUGGUGUAUCUUCCUGUUUUUCUAAGGAAUGCCAGUCCUGUUGGAGGAGGGUCCCACUCUUAGGGCCUCUUUGAGCCUUAAUUUCCUCUGUAAAGUUCCCAUCGCCAAAUACCGUGGCUUUGGGGGUGACGGCUGCAACCUAUGGAUUUGCGGGGGCGGGAUCCAGUCACACAGAUGCUCACUGCAAAGGUGGAAAGAAGGAGCCAUUUUCCCCUCAGCAGCCCCACAGCCACGGGGAGAGGGAGGGAGAGCAGAGGUAGGGGACAUAGGGACUGAGAGUAGGUGACACUGUGCUAGGAUGGUCCCAGUGCUUUAGGGAUACAUGGAGCUGGCUGGACCAGGGCAGUGAGGAGGAGUCCCAGGGGAAGGCUGUCCUGGGAGGAGCCUGAGCUUUGGAGCCUCAGGGUGUGUCCCCCGCUACACAAUCUUGAGCAAGUCACCUCACCUCUGUGAGUCCGAUGCCCAUUCUGUAACAGGAGCCAUCUGCUCUGCUGGAGGGGAGGGCAGUGCAGGAGGAGUCCGUAAAGGCUCAUGCCUGCCCAGUGCAGGGCUCCUAGCAGGUUGCUCCGUCAACACUCCCAUCCCUUUGGGGGUUUAGAUUCAGGGCUUAUCUAUUUUCGGUGCUCCAGAACUGCCAGCUCGGCAUCUUCUAAGCCAGAGGCACUUCCACUGCCUGUGUUUCUUAAUAUCUACUUUGAAUCAGCUUGGGGAGGUAGCUGCACUUUAUGGCCUCCCGAGUAGCUCCAAAUGCCUCCUGGGGUACCCUCUCAUCAGGAGUGAGAGCCUACCAUGGGCCCUUUUUUUUCUGUGCUGGUCGCUUGCAGGGGGAUAUAAGUGAAGCUCUAGGCACGAUUGAAACCUACAGGAUGGCACGGCCAAGCAAUUGGAACUGGAGGACUGGAGAAGGGGGCAGAGAACAGUCCACUCAGUCAUAGGUUCUGAGUGCUUGGGGGUGGGGGACAGGAGUAAGGUCCCAGAAUCACCUGGACAGUCUUCCCAGCAAGGUUUUGAAGGAUGAGAAAAUGUGGCUUAGCUGACAGCUUCCAGGUCCCUGGAAGAGAUUCGCAAGUAAGUCCUAGGAGAUACCAUUGCUUUUACCAAAAAAAAAAAAAAAAAAAAAAAAAAAAGGUUCAAAUUCAACCAGUUUCUAAAAAUGCAGGACUUAUCAGAGCCUUUAAAGUGCCGAUGGGAAUUGUGAGUACUCAAGGACAGGCAGGAUUCAGUGUUCUCCUGUUUUAUGGCAAUAGAGCCUUUUUCUUAUGGGGCAUCAUUUAGAACUGAGGGGGCCAUCUGGUGGGGCUUCUGUGGAAAAACCACAGCCGGGAUAGGAGAUGACACAGCUUGACACACUCAGGGGCUUUAUAGCAGUGGCUGGAAAGGCAGUAGAUGAGGAGGUGCCAGGGGAGUUGGAACUCAGUUCCAGGAGUCAAGUGAGCUCUGUGCAGUUUUGGUAUGGGCUGAAGAGGAAGAGGGCCGGCCAGUGGUCAGAGUAGCUGGAAGCCUGGCACUUGGUGGUGGAGGUGUCCACUGGACAUGGUACCUCUGGGCUUGAUGCAUCAACUCUUUUGUGAAAGAUGCUGGUGUGUGUGCCCGCGUGCCUGAGUGUGACAGGAUCCAGCCUUCUGGGAAGGGGCUGACCAGAACCAGGCAGGGGUUUCCGGCCAGGACCAGCAGGGUCUCUUUUCGGGGGGAGGGCCCUUGACGCCCACAGCUGAGAAAUUGGGAAGCAAAAACGCUCUGGGGUGGGGGCCACAGGAGAGGCUUCGUUCUGGGGGGCUGAGGAGCAUGGAGGUGGACCCCCUGCCCUGGUCAGGCCCCUCUCCCUGGCUGGUGGGAACGAGAGGCCUCCGGAGGGGCCGGGGCCGUGAUGCAUGGUGUGAUUAACCUACUAACCCAGGGCUCGGCCAGGCCGCUGCAGCGUGUGACGAGGUGCCUGGCCUUCUGCCAACUGACUAACCCACUAACCAGGCCCCAGCAUGCCCUACUAACCCCCUGCAGCCAGACCCUACUAACCUUGCAGCUCAUGGGCCUUCCAAGGGGCUGGGACGUGGGGGCAGACGACGCUCCAGAAGGCCCUGCCCGUGGCCUGGGAUCUCUGUGCAGACCCACAUUCCAGUACAGGGCGUGCGAGCAGGACUCGCCAACUCUGCCACUUCCUGCUGGGUGAUUUGGAGCAAGUCACCUAACCUCUCUGAACCUGGUUUCCUCAGCAGCAGAGGGGGGGCUAUGAUCUUCACCUCACAGGCUGUGGUGAGGAUUCUUGUGAAUAUAAAGUUCUUGACAUGUGGCAGAUACUUUAAAAAAAAAAAAAUGAGUGAGGGUUGGGGGUGGGAAGCCCAGAAAACCUGAUUAAUCACGUCCCCUGCCUUGGCCAUGGUCCCUCUGGGUGUUCUGCACACAGAACCUUCUGCCUGGGGCCAGACACUCGCUUUGAACCCUGUCUCUUCCCCACAUUCUUCCUUGUUCCAAGCUUUCUUUUCUGUAGGCAGCUCUUUUGUUCGAUUACUAACUUGUCUAACCAGGGGGGGGUCCCUCAACCGUCCCCUGCCCAUCCCUUAACCAACUAAUGGACCUGUGUGUGUUCUUCCUUUUCUCCUAGUGACUCCUGUGUGUGUCUGCUGAGGUGCUCCCGUCCGCUGGUGCUGUGCUCUGACUUACUAACCCAGCCCCUACUAACCUCGUUUUCUCUUCUUACUAACCCCAGCCCUGCCGAGCUCUGGGCAGCCCCUCCUUUUGGCAAGCAGAGAUCCUGGGGCCGAUCCUGCACACCGAUGCCCCAGUUUGCUGCCUCAAUUGGCUGAGUUCAGAGUCCACUGGGCCAGGUCUAAGGCAAGGGACGGCCGUGUUUACCACACCAGUGGCCCACAGGAGGUGGCUGUCAUGCGGACGUAGGAGGUCGGCCUCCGAGCGUGAACAUCUCUUCUUUGUGCGGAAGUCUGGUGGCCACUGGGAAGGGGCGGAACCAGGGAAACCUCUGGGAUUUCCCUGGGUGGGGAGGCCUGUGGGUCUGCAGCAUGGAACACUGGGCUCUUCCCAGCCAAGGGGCAGAGAGAAGGGGCCUGCGGCCUGUGUGUCCUCCUUUGGAGGGAAACAAGGGUGGAACUGACUCCAUCGGAAAGUGACAAGAAGAAGCAUGGUCCUACACAGGAAGUCAAUGGGAUCGUGUGCCGCACCCGGAAGUCAGCGAAAGGGGGCGUGGCCCACACCAGAAGUCAGUAAGAGGGGUCCCUGCAUAGGAAGUCAAUGAAAGGGGUCUUUACCACACUGGGGAUCACUGAGUGGAGCAUUUAGUACAGGAAGUUGGCCAGAGGGGCAUUUCUUAACCGGAAGUCAGAAGUCAGUAAGAGGGGUUUCUCACCUUAUCACUAGGCAUGACAAGGACAGGCCGAAAGAUCAGUGAGAAGGGCCCUUCUUGCAACAGUAGUUGGCUAGAGGGGCCCUUCCCCUCCUUGAAGCCAGUAGAGAGGCGUUCCCCACACCGGAAGUAGAUAUGGGCCAUUUUUCACACCGGAAGUCGUCGAGAAAUGCUGUCCAUGUCAAGAAGCUUGGGAAGGCAAGGAAGAAAACAGAACUACCCUGUGUUCAGGGGUUCGCACAGGAAGAAAGUAGGAAGCAAGACAUGAACCCCAGGGCCUCCCAGUGUCCUGCAGUCCCUCAGGCCAGCCAGAAAUUAAUCCCCGGCUCCCAGUCCUGUUCCCACCCAUGGCCCUGCCUCAGCUUGCCUUCCCCAGAGCCCGCCAGCCGCUACACCAGGGCCACACCUGGGGGUGAUUUUAUGCCUCACCUCCAGUAGGCACCUCGGUCUGUCUCUGUGGGCUAAUCUCUGGCUCCUUUGCACUAACUCUUGCUCUCACCCAGCUAAUCCCUGCCUCGCCCUGGCUGCCCCUCGGGGGGCUGCCCACUAACAGCCAACCCUACCCAUCUGGGGGGCGCCAGGCUCCCGGCCUGGCUCUGACCGGCUCUUAAUUAACUUCUCCUUCACCUUGACUAACUCCUGCCCUCCUGGUCUGUUCCUUUCAGCGAUAACUAACGGCUUGUGGAUUUCUUUCUGACUAACAACAGGUCUAACACUACUUGUUACUAUUACUGUUAACAGCUUGGAUGUCGGCAUGGCUGGGAUGGGGCUAACGCAGGUUUGGAACAUGACUAAUCCCGGCAGAGGUGUAGUUUCGUAGAGUUGGACUUGGCUUCUGCUCUGGUCAGAGCUAUCUGUAGUCAGUAAAGAUCGGGGGAUUCCAAAGGAGGUGCUAGGGCUGGGGUGUGGCCCAGGCAUGGCAAAAUGGUACCCAUUGAGGGUGGGAUCAGAAAGCAUGGUCAGCCGUGAAGGGUUAUAGCCGCUGGAAUCCCAUCAACCUCUAACAGACUGCAUUUGGGUUUUUUUAAAUAAUAUAGCUGCCGUAGGCCAAAUGGGUGGAUGCAACUCUUGUGGGCUUCAACACGACUAUCUGGUGUGGACAGAGGACGUGCCAUUAUGCAUGGAAUCAUUGGUCACCAGGCCAAGACCUAGACUCCUUGAUUUGGGGACUUGAGAGUUUUGGAAGUUCCAAGAAUGAAGCUUAGGAUCUGAAUAUUCAGAAGGGUUUAGAUUCCAUCGUCCAUUCACACCUUAGUAUAAAUUAGCUCAGCUUCCUCUUUAGUCUUCUCUGCAGUGUAGCUGCACUGAGAUGUGAGUUUGGCUGCAAGGGAGUUUGGUUUGCUUCAGGGUGGGGGGAGGAUCCUUUGGCAGCAGAGGAGGAGAGCCAUGGGGUCAGGGGAUCUUGGGCAGGGGGUGAAAGGUAACAUCAGGCUGAGAUGGGGAUGGGAAGAGGGGCCAUUUUGCUGGCCCAGUCUGGUAGUUUGGUUCUGUGGGAAAGGGUAGUUCACGGCAGGGCUUGGAGGACUGGAUCUGUUCAGGGCCAGGGUCAGAGGCUGGCCUGGAGACUUAGAGGCAGGUUGCUUGGGUCAUUGAGCGCUUUGACAGCCAUGGGCUUGGAACAAAUCUAAUGCACCUGGCAGUGGGGCCUUAAGGGAGGCCUGAACUACAAAGGGAACAAGAGAGGAGAAUGCAUUAGGAAGAGCUUGUGGAGGCAGCCUGGGUCAUCACAGGGACAGACUGGAUGGAUGGGGUGGAAGUGGGGGAAGCACCUCUCUGAUGCCCUCUAGUGGCCUCCCUGCCCAUUUCUCUGGAAGCAGGAAGCUUGGGCCCUUGGCUUUCCUGGAAAUUCUCUUUAUUCACCUGCAAAGAUCUUGAUGUUGCUGAGGACCUAAGGUGAGCCCAGCACUGGGUGCUGGAAUCCACCUACAGGCCCUUCCAUCUGGUGCUUGUAUAGCUCAGUGGGGGAGUUAGAGAACUUAACAUGUAAUGCAGUGAGAUGGGUGCUGUGUAGGGCUGGGCAGGGCUGUGGAAGCACCCAGAAGGCGGACAAGGUUGCUGUGCACCUAGUUCAUGUCAGGCAUGGUGCUUGGUGUUGUGAACAAGUGCUGAUUAAGUCCUCUGCUCUCCAGGACAGUUCAUGCUGGUGCAUCGGGUGGGCGCGGGGUAGAAUGGAGUGUAGGCAGUCAGGGCAGGCUUUCUGAAUGGGAGACAUCUAAGCUGAGCCCUGGUUAGGUGCAGUGGGGCUGAGUUCCAGGUAGUGGGAAUGGAAGACACAAAGUUCUGGGCAUUGGAGAGGGUCGAAGAGGUUCAGGAAGGUUCAUGGGGAAUGUAGCAGGAGACAGAUGGGACAUGGACAGGCACCAGGCCCUGUUGCCUGGGAGUUUUGGAUUUGUGUUAAGGGCAACGGGGAGCUAUGGAUGUGACCUGAGGAGGGGAGAGUUGGAUCUUCAGGCUAACAAUUUGGCUAUUUCAGCCCAGGUGGAAUUCUGAGGCGCUUACAAUGUGUUCUGGUCAAUUUUAGAUAAGUGAUAAGAACCUGAAGCUAAGGGACCCUUAGAUCUGUCGUGAGAUAAAUAGAAUCCUGAACCCCUUGGUCCAGCUGCAGUUAGUGCUGCAGUGACCAGAAAGCCAGGAAGGGGCUUGGCUGGGGUGACAGGGACAACUGAGAGGACGAGCAGCCCUGAAAGGGGGUCACCCCAGCCCUGGGGGUAUGCGGCUCCCGGAGAAGUUCUGAGGAGAUGUCCUCAUGGACUGCAAGUCUCCAGGAGAACCUCACCUGUCCUGUGUGUCUGCCAGAGGGACACGCAUGUGUAGAGUAAGCUUCCAAGAGGCAGAGCCUGGUCCCAGGGAAGGAGACAUGUGUCAUGAGGGGGAACAACUCUUCUGGAGGUGGAAGAAGAGGGACUAGGCCCCCUUUGAGACAGGUGGUGGUGACGGUGAGAGUCCAGGAUUCUGUGUGUGAGUGUGUGUCCAUGUGUGCAUGCAUGUGUGUUCUUGACUUAAUACCUAAGGAAGCUGAUCCCAAGUAGGCACAGUCUGUUUACCCCUCCCUGACCCAAGCCUUUGAUGUUCACGCUGGGGUCAAGUCCACUGAACAUCAAGCUCGUUAGGAGGAGGACUGUAUGAGCUGGGGAGUUGGUGGCAUACUGUGUUCAGGAGAUGUCUGGGGUGGGGGACUGGUCCCAUCCCAACAAAGCAUCCUGAAGUUCCUUCUUGAGAGUCUGUCCAGGGACCCACUGUUUUACUUUAACCAGAGGAGACACUUUCUGUGUGGGGAUAGAUACUCUGCUACAAAUUAAAGACCAGAUUCUUAUAUGGAUCCAGCA